AUUGAACGCUGGCGGCAGGCUUAACACAUGCAAGUCGAACGAGUGGAGGAAGGGUGAGUAAUGCUUGGGACUCUAGCUUAUGGAGGGGGAUAUAUACGGGAAACUGUAGCUAAUACCGCGUACCAUAGGAUGGGCCCAAGUGGGAUUAGGGAGUUGUGUGGGUAAAGUCCCACCUAGGAGACGAUCCCUAGCUGGUCUGAUGGGAUGACCAUCCACACUGUAACUGAGACACGGUCCAGACUCCUACGGGAGGCAGCAGUGGGGAAUAUUGCACAAUGGGCGGAAGCCUGAUGCAGCCAUGCCGCGUGUGGGAAGAAGGCCUUCGGGUUGUAAAGCACUUUCAGCGGGGAGGCGUUACCCGCAGAAGAAGCACCGGCUAACUCCGUGCCAGCCGCCGCGGUAAUUC
rnacentral:rRNA from 1 species